UACGUAGGUGGCGAGCGUUGUCCGGAUUUACUGGGCGUAAAGAGCGCGCAGGCGGUCGGCCAAGUCGAGUGUGAAAGCCCCCGGCUCAACUGGGGAGGGUCACUUGAUACUGGUCGACUCGAAGGCGGGAGAGGGAAGUGGAAUUCCCGGUGUAGUGGUGAAAUGCGUAGAUAUCGGGAGGAACACCAGUGGCGAAGGCGGCUUCCUGGUCUACGACUGACGCUGUGGCGCGAAAGCUAGGGGAGCGAACGGG
rnacentral:rRNA from 1 species